rnacentral:lncRNA from 1 species
GGGAGGAGUUGUUUUUAAGAAAAGGGACUUAGAAAAUGAUACACUAUGCAUUGGUGACUGGGGUAAAGGGUUACCUGAUUAAAUAACUGCUGAAGAGGAAGGCCUUUAGAGGUAGAUAUAACCCCUCAUUCAGACCCAGUUGACAUAAUAACCUUGGAAUUGUGAGAAGUUCUCAAGUUCUCUCUCUCUCUCUCUUUUUUUUUUUCCUUCUCUGAUGUUUUGAAACCAGUUGUUUGGGCUUCCAUCCAUGAUUUGCAAUUAUAAAGCCUUUUUAAACCCUCUGGUUUUGCCCACAUGCUGUAGAAAUCAGUAUGAAAGUGAGAGUCUGUAAUAUGACUUCACCAGGGAAAAAGCCCAAGCAAAUGCCACCUAACUCAGAACAAGGGAUGUUUCCAAUCAAUAACCUUGGCAUCUUCCUAAAUCUUUUCACAGUUGUUCUUGUCUUGCCUUGGAAUACACACUUGGUUCACCAUCCGUGGGAGGUGUGCAGCCUGUUUAAUCCUAAUACUACUGAUCAGAACUGCUCUACAAAUAGCAUGUGCUGUUGUUUUUCUAACCAAUCCCUCAAUUCCCCAUGUGCUUAUUAGCGGGGAGUCUCUCUCCUGAGACUCCUCCUACCCUCUGAUAAUCCAAACUGGCUGAGAACAUUCCUCCAAGAUGGCGACUCCUGUGCCAGUGACCACAGCUCUUUCCAGGAGCUUCACCCAGUUCCUCAGGGCUCAGCUACUCAGACGAAGCAUGCACGUUGGGGCCCGAGGUUUAGCUCUCAAUGCUUUGCCUCACUAACAUGGCCACAUCCAGCUACCACUUGGGUCCAGAGAGCAGAGUCCCAGGGUCCCUUUCCUCCAGAGGUCUGGACUUUGCCUUCCGGACCCUAAAAGUACAAAGAGCCUAACUAGACAGCGUCUCCCCCAAACAAAAAUGCUGCUCACCCUAUCCUCUACAGUGGUUUCCUCUUAUAGUUUCCUCUCUUCUUGUCCAAGCCCUUCCCCUCAUUUCUUCUAUCUCUUCUCUCCUAGUCAUCCUCCUCUUCUCUACCUUUUCAUUCACUGAGAACAAAUAUUGAUCCAAUAUGGUACUAGGACAUAAGUGAUAACGGAGUAAGACAUUUAUUCAUGCUCUCCAAAAGUCUGUAACCUAGUCAUAGAGAGAAGACUGGCAAAAGACAGGAACAAUCAGAUGCUAAUUUUAUUUCUACUUCUCAUCUUUCUCUCAUUAUUUAUAUACAUCAGACAAAAAGGCUGAAAUACAGCUUCAGCUUACAGAACAAUAAUAAACUUUGAUGGACUUUCCAUUCUAUUUCAGUAAUACAUUCCCAGUCCAUGGUGACCUCUUAGUACAUGAGAUAAUUUAUUUCUGUGGGUGUUUCAGAAUGAGACAAACUUUGCAGAACUGAGCAUUCUUCCAAUUAGUGAUGAGGUGAAAACAAAACAAAACCAAAGCAAUGCAAACAUAUGCUUUCUUGGGAUAGAACAUGAUGGAAGACUAUGAGAAAACAAAUGUGUCUGUACGUAGGAAUGACUGGGUCACUAUGCUGUACAGAAGAAAUGGCACAAUGCUGUAAAUCCCUAUACUUUAAUAAUAAAAAAAAAUAAGCGUAUCAAGUCAGCCAGGAGCCCUGAAAAUGCAAGAUUAUUCCUACAAUGUAUGUCCAAGCAUUUCUUCAUCUAAUGGGCCCUCCAGGCAGCCCUGGGAAGACAAGUGCAUGGUUUUAUAGGCAAUAUUCUCAAAGGGCUUAUUCUGAUGAUAGUGUGAAAAGAGCCAACCCCAAAGAAAGGCUGGACCCCUGGGGUUGAGACCAUUCCCCUGCACAAAGGUAAACUAGAGAACUGAGGCAAUGAUCUGAAUAAUUCCAUCUCACCUCUCCUCCUUCAUCUUAUCUCAAGAAAGGCUUCGGAGAGCUCAGACAAAACUCGGUGUCCUGCCUUUGCCUUUGUUUUCCAUAUUCGCUUAAUUAUCCAGAUAAAUACAGUAUCCGCCUCUUUACUGGGGGGCAGGGAAAACGGUCAAAAAAACUUCACAUCUUUAUCAGCUACUGGGGAAAAAAUAAUCUGUAGCCCUGCACCCAGGCAAUGUGACACAUUUUUUUGUCAGUUUUCUUUUUCCCAGUGGGUGAAAUUUAACCACUACUUUGUUAGCGAAGGUCUAGUCAUUCCCCAGAGGAAAAUUAUAGGCAUGAAGAUAUAACCUCUGCCAUGCCACAGAUGAGCUUAAAAGGAUAGAUUUCUAGGUCUAGCCACCGUUUUGAAAUUAGGUUUUAAAGGAUUCGGUUUGUUGCUAUGAAUUUAAGGGGCAGAAGGGGCCAACAACCACUUACAGUUCUCAAAAAUAACACCGAGCAAGAAUAUUUCCAUCCUAUUACAGCUCUGAAGAAGGAUAAAAAAAAUAAAAGCUCCCUGUUGGACAAAAGUGAAUUAACGAUGGCCACAAAUACCAACGUUAACUCUGCAUUAUUGAGAUUCACACACUCACUUCAUUACCAAAGCAUCCUCCAGAUUAAAACAGACAUAACUAGUAGCUUGAAACUAAGAGUAAAGAGCUGCCUGGCCAUCACUCUGUCAAUUUCAUCUCACGACUCUUUCCCCUGACAGCUUCUUCCAGGAUAUUUCAACCAGCUGUAAAAUUUGCCUUCCCCUUCUUUUCUCCCUUUAAAGGAAAAGCCUGCCAGAGGAUUUGGGUGCAUUAGGACAGACUUUAUUAAACAACUUAAUCCAUCUCUGCCUGCCUAGCAGGGCCUGGGGAGUCCUAAUUAAUCAAUAAGCAUUUAUUGAGUGUUCCAAUGUGCAUAACAGUCCUGAGUCAGAUGCCGUGAAGCCUUCAAGACCUAGUUAGGAAAAUAGAGCACAUUGCCUCCUAAAGGCUUUCCUGACAGUGAGUUAGUACAGGGGGAAAAAGGAUAGAGUAUUUGUUGGAGGCCUCCUGGGUAACAAAUGCUGCACGAGAUGUCCUAUAUACAAUAUGAUUUUCCUUAAUCUGUAUGUUUGCUAAGGCAGCCAUAACAAAGCGCCCCCGGACUAGGGGGCUCAAACAACGGAACUUUAUUUCCUUGUACUUCUGCGGGCUAGAAGUGUCAGCUGUUGGUUUUCUUCUGAGACCUCCCUCCUUGGCUUGUAGGUGGAAAACAGAGGGAAAACACCUCCCUCUGUUUUCACAUGGCCCUUCCUCUGUGCACACUCAUACCUGUGUCCCAAUGUCCCCUUUUUAUAAGGACACCAGUCCUAUUGGAUUAGCCCCCCACCCCCACCCUGCAGAGACCUAAUUUUAACUUAAUUACCCCUCUAAAAACAUUAUCUUAUAUAUUGGAGGGUUAGGACUUCAAUGUAUGAAUUGUGGGGUGUAGGGCACAAUUUAGUCUAUAAUUCUACAACAGAGGUGAAAGGAUUAAGUCCAGUAGUGAAUAAUUAAAAAAAAAAAGAAAAAGUAGCUUAAAGGUAACAGAAGUUUAUUUCUCACUUUCAAAAAGAUAAGAAAUGGUCCAAAACUGAAAUAAUGAUCCAUGGUGGGAGAGACCCAGGUAUCUUUCAUAGCUUCCAUUUCCAAGGUCACCUCAUGGUCCAAUAUGGCUGCUGAAAUUCCAACCAUUAAGUCUAUAUUCCACUUUGGUGAUUCUGUUCUCAGAAAGGCUCUCCCUCCACAGUUGUAAGAUAGCUGCAGCAUCCUCAGGAUCUACCUUCCCUAAGCUUCUAAUCCAGUGGGAAAGAGCAAGAGCCUCUUUUCUAGAAGUACCAGCAAAGUUAUACUUGUGACCCACUGAUCCUGAUUAGGUCACAUGCUUAUUGUGGUGGUCAGGGGAAGGGGACAUACUGAUCACCUUGGGUCUAGACACCUACCUAGCCUUGGGGUAAGAGUGUGACCAUCAGGAAUUCCUGAGGGAACUUUCAUUUAAUGUUUUACUAGAAGGACAAAUGGAUGCUGUGCAGGACAAACCACAAUGUCCACAGCACGUUAGCCACAUUUUUCAGAUGAGUGCAUGAGACCCAGAGAAGCAAAGUUACCUGCCCAGGGACCCACUCAAGUGCCAGAGCUAGGAUUCAAACCCUACUGUCUGAUGGCAAAAUCCUUCCCCUUCUUACCCUGUUACCUUCCUAGAUUCAAAGCCAGAGGACAUGACAACCAUGGGAGGGGGCAAGACAGGAAGACUUCCUGGAGGAGGUGAAGUAAUGAAUGAUAGAAAAGAAACUGGAUACCAAGGAAACCAAAGAAAAAACACCACCAGCAAGGAGACAUUCUCUGUGUGACUCAGUACCCGAAGUCGACCUGUGUCAUGGUUGUCCUGGCAUAAUAAAUACCAGGGCACCAGGGCCAUGGCCACUGAGGGUCAGUCUGCAAACUCCUCAGAUCAUUAGCAAGACUUCUGGGGGGGAAAUGGCCUUCAGAGCCAAAAGAUCUGGGGGAAACCUGUCCUUUAUCCUCUUGUUGCAUUACAGGAAACCAAAAAUACGGUUCUAAGAAGUCCUGCGUUAUCUCAUUUGGCUGGACCAGAAUUUCCCAGACAACAAUUUUCCUCAUAGAUUUUUGUUUGCUGGUGACUUGGUUGUGAUCACCUACUAACAUCUUUCAUAUUCAAGACAACACAGUUCUUUGAAAUGCACAUCAGGAAACAGGAAUUGCUGAUUUAAUCCAAAGCUUGAUUUUCGAGAAGAGGGAACCAUGGUUCAGGGACGGUAAGAGAUAAUGGCUGAUGUUGUCUAACAGGUGAGUGACGGCUCCAAGGCCAGCACCCAGGCACCUUCACUCCCAACGCCUCUGUACACGCAGGUGGGUGGUAGUUUUCAAAGUACUUUUACAUGAAAUUAUCUUCUUAUUUGAGUAUGACAAAACUAAGCUGAACAUUGUUCUCAUUUAACAUUUCAGUUUUUAUCUAAAUGAAACGCAAGAUCCUGGGUUCUUGCGUUUCCAAGAACUGAGGUGGGAGGGGAGUGGGGCUCACGGGCUCUUGCAGGCGCCCAGCAAGGCACUCAGGGUUUAGUUAACUUGCCUACGGCUAUUUAGUCGACACAGGGCUAGGAACUGUUUCUGUGUCCUCCCGUUCCUCAAUAGGUUUUGAGUAGAUACAUGAAUCAAUCCAUCAAGAAAUGUUUAUUAAGUG